rnacentral:rRNA from 1 species
GACGAACGCUGGCGGCGUGCUUAACACAUGCAAGUCGAGCGGAAAGGCCACUUCGGUGGUACUCGAGCGGCGAACGGGUGAGUAACACGUGAGUAAUCUGCCCCUGGCUUUGGGAUAACCACCGGAAACGGUGAUUAAUACCGGAUACGAGUUCUGCAGGCAUCUGCGGAAUUGGAAAGUUUUUCGGUCUGGGAUGGGCCCGCGGCCUAUCAGCUUGUUGGUGAGGUAACGGCUCACCAAGGCGACGACGGGUAGCCGGCCUGAGAGGGCGACCGGCCACACUGGGACUGAGACACGGCCCAGACUCCUACGGGAGGCAGCAGUGGGGAAUAUUGCGCAAUGGGCGAAAGCCUGACGCAGCAACGCCGCGUGCGGGAUGAAGGCCUUCGGGUUGUAAACCGCUUUCAGCAGGGAAGAAGCGAAAGUGACGGUACCUGCAGAAGAAGCACCGGCUAACUACGUGCCAGCCGCCGCCGUAA